UAGGGAAUCUUCGGCAAUGGGGGCAACCCUGACCGAGCAACGCCGCGUGAGUGAAGAAGGUUUUCGGAUCGUAAAGCUCUGUUGUAAGUCAAGAACGGGUGUGAGAGUGGAAAGUUCACACUGUGACGGUAGCUUACCAGAAAGGGACGGCUAACUACGUGCCAGCAGCCGCGGUAAUACGUAGGUCCCGAGCGUUGUCCGGAUUUAUUGGGCGUAAAGCGAGCGCAGGCGGUUUGAUAAGUCUGAAGUUAAAGGCUGUGGCUCAACCAUAGUUCGCUUUGGAAACUGUCAAACUUGAGUGCAGCAGGGGAGAGUGGAAUUCCAUGUGUAGCGGUGAAAUGCGUAGAUAUAUGGAGGAACACCGGUGGCGAAAGCGGCUCUCUGGUCUGUAACUGACGCUGAGGCUCGAAAGCGUGGGGAGCGAACAGG
rnacentral:rRNA from 1 species